rnacentral:rRNA from 1 species
AGAGUUUGAUCAUGGCUCAGGAUGAACGCUAGCUACAGGCUUAACACAUGCAAGUCGAGGGGCAGCAUGUUGGUUGCUUGCAACCAAUGAUGGCGACCGGCGCACGGGUGAGUAACGCGUAUCCAACCUACCCUUGUCCAUCGGAUAACCCGUCGAAAGGCGGCCUAACACGAUAUGCGGUUCUCAGCAGGCAUCUAACGAGAACGAAAUGUGAAGGAGAAGGAUGGGGAUGCGUCUGAUUAGCUUGUUGGCGGGUAACGGCCACAAGGCGACGAUCAGUAGGGGUCCUGAGAGGAACGGUCCCCCACAUUGGAACUGGAGACACGGUCCAAACUCCGUACGGGAGGCA